CGGCAUCCGUUUGCACUGAGCUGUGACC
rnacentral:piRNA from 1 species